GACGUAGGGCGCGAGCGUUGUCCGGAAUUAUUGGGCGUAAAGAGCUCGUAGGCGGUUUGUCGCGUCUGCUGUGAAAACCCGAGGCUCAACCUCGGGCCUGCAGUGGGUACGGGCAGACUAGAGUGCGGUAGGGGAGAUUGGAAUUCCUGGUGUAGCGGUGGAAUGCGCAGAUAUCAGGAGGAACACCGAUGGCGAAGGCAGAUCUCUGGGCCGUAACUGACGCUGAGGAGCGAAAAGCGUGGGGGAGCGAACAGG
rnacentral:rRNA from 1 species